rnacentral:rRNA from 1 species
UGGGGAAUAUUGGACAAUGGGCGAAAGCCUGAUCCAGCAAUGCCGCGUGAGUGAUGAAGGCCUUCGGGUUGUAAAGCUCUUUUAGUAGAGAAAAUAAUGAUGGUAUCUACAGAAAAAGCCCCGGCUAACUUCGUGCCAGCAGCCGCGGUAAUACGAAGGGGGCUAGCGUUGUUCGGAAUUACUGGGCGUAAAGAGCAUGUAGGCGGCCUAGAAAGUUAAAAGUGAAAUCCCAGAGCUCAACUCUGGAACAGCUUUUAAAACUCCUAGGCUGGAGAUCGAUAGAGGAUGGUGGAAUUCCUAGUGUAGAGGUGAAAUUCUUAGAUAUUAGGAGGAAUAUCAAUGGCGAAGGCAGCCAUCUGGGUCAGAUCUGACGCUGAGAUGCGAAAGCGUGGGGAGCAAA